UACAGAGACCUCAAGCGUUAUCCGGAUUUAUUGGGCGUAAAGCGUCCGCAGGUGGCUAGUUAAGUCGUUGGUAAAAUCUAUGGGCUCAACCCAUAGUCUGCCGGCGAUACUGACAAGCUAGAGGCCGGUAGAGGUAAGCGGAAUUGCUGGUGUAGCGGUAGAAUGCGUUUAUAUCAGCAAGAACACCAAAGGCGAAGGCAGCUUACUGGAACGGCCCUGACACUCAUGGACGAAAGCGUGGGGAG
rnacentral:rRNA from 1 species